GAGAGUAUAGCUCAAGUGGUAGAGUUCAUGCUUGGCAUGCAAGGGGUCCUGGGUUCAAUCCCUAGUACCUCCA
rnacentral:tRNA from 1 species